rnacentral:lncRNA from 1 species
AUGAUGAAGAUGACUGCCACUUCCGGCAGUACAGAUCUCCUGCCCCCUUCCCCCUUUGUUUUGACUGAUGGGGAGGCUUGGGCAUCGCGGGCAUUGUCCAGUUUUUUUAAAACUCUUCACAUUUAUGUUUCACAGGGUGUGAAAGAAGGGCUUUGCACCUUUAUACAACAUGCCUGUGUGCUUGGGCCCAGGGUCUUUUGCCUCACCAUCCCCACUACUCACUCCCUGUUGCUACUCAGCUUCAAAAAGAAAAGAAAAGGUGUCCCUGGAUUCAUUGAAAAAAAUCUGGUAACCAUAGUCUACUUAGAAUUUAUUAUAAGAAGAGCAAUUACUCUACACACCCCUUGCUUUCCUAGGAAGAUGCUUCCAUCCACUGGUUCAUGUAGCUCAGCACAUUACCCUGCCCAGCUGCAGUUCUCUCAGUGUUUACCGUAUUUUUCGCACCAUAGGGCGCACCGGACCAUAGGGCGCACCCAGUUUUUUUGGGGGGAAAUAAAGGGGGAAAAAUUAUUUCCCCCCCAGGCGCGGGCUGGGGAAGCUCGAGCUUCCCCCAACCCCAGCCCCCAAACAGGUAGCUCUCUGCAAGCCGUGGGAGCCCAGCGCUGGCUCCCGCUGCUUGUGGAGAGGUCUGCGAAGCCUGGACGCGCUGAGCUCAGCGCGCGCAGGCUUCGGCAUGCUGGCAACCCUGCGCAAACAGCGGGAGCGCUCCCGCUGCUUGCGGGGAGGUCCGCGAAGCCUGGACGCGCUGAGCUCAGCGCGCGCAGGCUUCGGCAUGCUGGCAACCCUGCGCAAACAGCGGGAGCGCUCCCGCUGCUUGCGGGGAGGUCCGGGAAGCCUGGACGCGCUGAGCUCAGCGCGCGCAGGCUUCGGCAUGCUGGCAACCCUGCGCAAACAGCGGGAGCGCUCCUGCUGUUUGCGGGGAGGUCCGCGAAGCCUGGACGCGCUGAGCUCAGCGCGCGCAGGCUUCGGCAUGCUGGCAACCCUGCGCAAACAGCGGGAGCGCUCCUGCUGUUUGCGGGGAGGUCCGCGAAGCCUGGACGCGCUGAGCUCAGCGCGCGCAGGCUUCGGCAUGCUGGCAACCCUGCGCAAACAGCGGGAGCGCUCCCGCUGCUUGCGGGGAGGUCCGCGAAGCCUGGACGCGCUGAGCUCAGCGCGCGCAGGCUUCGGCAUGCUGGCAACCCUGCGCAAACAGCGGGAGCGCUCCUGCUGUUUGCGGGGAGGUCCGCGAAGCCUGGACGCGCUGAGCUCAGCGCGCGCAGGCUUCGGCAUGCUGGCAACCCUGCGCAAACAGCGGGAGCGCUCCUGCUGUUUGCGGGGAGGUCCGCGAAGCCUGGACGCGCUGAGCUCAGCGCGCGCAGGCUUCGGCAUGCUGGCAACCCUGCGCAAACAGCGGGAGCGCUCCCGCUGCUUGCGGGGAGGUCCGGGAAGCCUGGACGCGCUGAGCUCAGCGCGCGCAGGCUUCGGCAUGCUGGCAACCCACCCCUCUCACUCUCCAGGCUUCAGCGAAAGCCUGCAUUCGCACCAUAG